ACUCAAAUGAAUUGACGGGGGCCCGCACAAGCGGUGGAGCAUGUGGUUUAAUUCGACGCAACGCGCAGAACCUUACCAGCCCUUGACAUGUCUAUGACCGGUACCAGAGAUGGAACCUUCCCUUCGGGGCAUAGAGCACAGGUGCUGCAUGGCUGUCGUCAGCUCGUGUCGUGAGAUGUUGGGUUAAGUCCCGCAACGAGCGCAACCCCCGUCCUUAGUUGCUACCAUUUAGUUGAGCACUCUAAGGAGACUGCCGGUGAUAAGCCGCGAGGAAGGUGGGGAUGACGUCAAGUCCUCAUGGCCCUUACGGGCUGGGCUACACACGUGCUACAAUGGCGGUGACAAUGGGAUGCAAAAGGGCGACCUCUCGCAAAUCUCAAAAAGCCGUCUCAGUUCGGAUUGGGCUCUGCAACUCGAGCCCAUGAAGUUGGAAUCGCUAGUAAUCGUGGAUCAGCAUGCCACGGUGAAUACGUUCCCGGGCCUUGUACACACCGCCCGU
rnacentral:rRNA from 1 species